rnacentral:rRNA from 1 species
UGAUACGUAGGGUGCGAGCGUUGUCCGGAAUUAUUGGGCGUAAAGAGCUUGUAGGCGGUUGGUCGCGUCGGAAGUGAAAUCUCAGGGCUUAACUCUGAGUCUGCUUCCGAUACGGGCUGACUAGAGGAAGUUAGGGGAGAACGGAAUUCCUGGUGGAGCGGUGGAAUGCGCAGAUAUCAGGAGGAACACCGGUGGCGAAGGCGGUUCUCUGGGACUUUCCUGACGCUGAGAAGCGAAAGCGUGGGGAGCAAACAGGCUUAGAUACCCUGGUAGUCCACGCCGUAAACGGUGGGCACUAGGUGUGGGGGACAUUCCACGUUCUCCGUGCCGUAGCUAACGCAUUAAGUGCCCCGCCUGGGGAGUACGGCCGCAAGGCUA